GCAGAAGGAGGCUAUCGAUGUCGCCAUAGCUGCAUUUGAAAAGCAUAGUGUAGAGAAAGAUAUAGCAGAGUCUAUUAAGAAAGAGUUCGAUAAGAGGCAUGGACCGACCUGGCACUGCAUUGUUGGCCGUAAUUUUGGUUCGUACGUGACACACGAGACAAACCACUUUGUUUACUUCUACUUGGAUCAGAAAGCAGUUUUAUUGUUCAAAUCUGGUUGAUAAAACAUGUAUAUUAUGCAGAUUAAUGAAUCUUAUUCACUGAUUUUGUGAUCAUCGCAAUUUAAUCAAAU
rnacentral:misc_RNA from 1 species